GAUGAAGAACGCAGCGAAAUGCGAUAAGUAAUGCGAAUUGCAGAAUUCAGUGAGUCAUCGAAUCUUUGAACGCACAUUGCGCCCUGUGGUAUUCCGCAGGGCAUGCCUGUUCGAGCGUCAUUUCAACCCUCAAGCUCUGCUUGGUGUUGGGCCCUGCCCGCUGCGGCCGGCCCUAAAGACAGUGGCGGUGCCGCCUGGCCCUGAGCGUAGUACAUCUCUCGCUCCAGUGCCCGGUGGUAGCCUGCCAGAACCCCAACUCUCGUGGGUGACCUCGGAUCAGGUAGGGAUACCCGCUGAACUUAAGCAUAUCAAUAAGCGGAGGA
rnacentral:misc_RNA from 1 species